GAUGAACGCUGGCGGCGUGCUUAACACAUGCAAGUCGAACGAGAAACCUUUUAAUGAAGCUUCGGCAGAUUUAGCUGGUUUCUAGUGGCGGACGGGUGAGUAACGCGUGGGUAACCUGCCUUAUACAGGGGGAUAACAGUCAGAAAUGACUGCUAAUACCGCAUAAGCGCACAGGACCGCAUGGUCCGGUGUGAAAAACUCCGGUGGUAUAAGAUGGACCCGCGUUGGAUUAGCUUGUUGGUGGGGUAACGGCUCACCAAGGCGACGAUCCAUAGCCGGCCUGAGAGGGUGAACGGCCACAUUGGGACUGAGACACGGCCCAGACUCCUACGGGAGGCAGCAGUGGGGAAUAUUGCACAAUGGGGGAAACCCUGAUGCAGCGACGCCGCGUGAAGGAAGAAGUAUCUCGGUAUGUAAACUUCUAUCAGCAGGGAAGAUAGUGACGGUACCUGACUAAGAAGCCCCGGCUAACUACGUG
rnacentral:rRNA from 1 species